GACGAACGCUGGCGGCGUGCUUAACACAUGCAAGUCGAACGGUAAGGCCCUGCGUUUGUGGGGUGCUCGGGUGGCGAAAGGGUGAGUAACACGUGAGUAACCUGCCCUUGACUUUGGGAUAACUUCAGGAAACUAGGGCUAAUACCGGACAGGAGCUCCUGCGGCAGGGGGGGGGUUGGAAAGUUUGGGCGGUUGGGGAUGGACGCGCGGCUUAUCAGCUUGUUGGUGGGGUAGUGGCUUACCAAGGCUUUGACGGGUAGCCGGCCUGAGAGGGUGACCGGCCACAUUGGGACUGAGAUACGGCCCAGACUCCUACGGGAGGCAGCAGUGGGGAAUAUUGCACAAUGGGCGGAAGCCUGAUGCAGCAACGCCGCGUGCGGGAUGACGGCCUUCGGGUUGUAAACCGCUUUCGCCUGUGACGAAGCGCGAGUGACGGUAAUGGGUAAAGAAGCACCGGCUAACUACGUG
rnacentral:rRNA from 1 species